GACGAACGCUGGCGGCGUGCCUAAUACAUGCAAGUCGAGCGAAUCACUGGGAGCUUGCUCCUGGUGGUUAGCGGCGGACGGGUGAGUAACACGUGGGCAACCUGCCUGUAAGACUGGGAUAACACCGGGAAACCGGUGCUAAUACCGGAUAAUCCUUUCCCUCUCAUGAGGGAAAGCUGAAAGUCGGUUUCGGCUGACACUUACAGAUGGGCCCGCGGCGCAUUAGCUAGUUGGUGAGGUAACGGCUCACCAAGGCGACGAUGCGUAGCCGACCUGAGAGGGUAAUCAGCCACACUGGGACUGAGACACGGCCCAGACUCCUACGGGAGGCAGCAGUAGGGAAUCUUCCACAAUGGACGAAAGUCUGAUGGAGCAACGCCGCGUGAGCGAUGAAGGCCUUCGGGUCGUAAAGCUCUGUUGUUAGGGAAGAACAAGUACCGGAGUAACUGCCGGUACCUUGACGGUACCUCCACAAGAAGCCCCGGCUAACUACGUGCCAGCAGCCGCCGCCGUAA
rnacentral:rRNA from 1 species